AACGAACGCUGGCGGCAUGCCUAACACAUGCAAGUCGAACGAGACCUUCGGGUCUAGUGGCGCACGGGUGCGUAACGCGUGGGAACCUGCCCUUAGGUUCGGAAUAACUCCCCGAAAGGGGUGCUAAUACCGGAUAAUGUCUUCGGACCAAAGAUUUAUCGCCUUUGGAUGGGCCCGCGUUGGAUUAGCUAGUUGGUAGGGUAAAAGCCUACCAAGGCGACGAUCCAUAGCUGGUCUGAGAGGAUGAUCAGCCACACUGGGACUGAGACACGGCCCAGACUCCUACCGGAAGCAGCAGUGGGGAAAAUUGGACAAUGGGCGUAAGCCUGCUCCAGCAAUGCCGCGUGAGUGAUGAAGGCCUUAGGGUUGUAAAGCUCUUUUACCCGAGAUGAUAAUGACAGUACCGGGAGAAUAAGCGCCGGCUAACUCCGU
rnacentral:rRNA from 1 species